GGAAAGGGGUCUUUCCCGCGAGCGUUGCGGAAUUAAAGAGGUCCCACUUCGUGGGCAUGCCCAGAAUACAGGCCCUCGCGGGGGCGGGCCAGCGUUUCGCCGUGAGGCGUGGCUCCUGCUGCGGGUCGGGCGCUGGCUCCAGCCGGCAAGGGGACUCUUUGCCUGCACACGCGGCGGAAGGAGCCAGGGCGGCGGUGCUGCGACACUUCCAGCAGCUUCCAGACCGGCCAGGGCGGCCCUGCCCCGCCCCUUCCCUCGAGGCCCCGCCCCGCCCUCUGCGGCCUGGGCUGUGCCUCUGCGGCGGCUCCGCCCCGCAACCGCACUGCUGGGAGCCUGGGGGCCAAGUGGGCUAUACCCUCAUUUCCUCCAGGAAACUGCAGAGGUGGCGCAUUACCCUACCCGCCAGGCCCAGCUAGCCCGGCACUGCGUCCGGGCUGCCUAGAUCUGGGAAGUCGGGUCUCCCAGGACUCCUGCAGGAUGGCAGGAGUUCUUGGAGGCAGCAUGAGGACGCUGAUCAGAGUGUGGCCCGCUCCAGGUGCCAGAACCAAGUCGUUCCCCUUCGGCUGUGGCGCCGGAGCCUCAAGGCCAUGGGCCUGCCCAGGGAGUGCCAGAGGGACGCCCUCCUCUGAUGUCUCUGCCCCGUUUGCGUGCCCUCCAGCUGGUGAGCUGGCCUUACUUUUCCAAGGCCUUAUAUCUGAAGCCUCCUUUACGCAGAUUCCCCUCCAGAAGAGAAUGGCCCCUCCCUACGCUGUGACCUUGUGGAUGUCCAGCAACUCCCUUCGUGGCCUGCUUUGUCGGUGCCUGGCAUCCUGGGGAGAGGUUCCCCCACCACCCACCCGCGGACCUCCCUUAGCAGCCCUGGCGCCCAGUCUCAUUCUUUCACAUUUUCUUUGUUCAUAUGUUGAGUUCCAGGGAACAAAGGACCCUUCCUUCCCUUCUCCUUGGCCCACACUCCAGACCUCAACAGCUCCGCCCCCAUUACCUCAAUUUCAUCUCUCCAUAGACUUCUACUUCUCUUCAUUACGGUCUGGGAGAAGCCUGUGGCUGGGAGAAGUCAAAGUCCAGUAGUGCGGAUGCUGUUUCCCAGACUUAAGCCGGAAGCAGAACAAAGAUCACUCCUGUGGACCAGUGUCGGGACCAAAAUUCCUCAGGGGGUUCCUAAUGGGAAAAUCUCAAGUCUCAUCACCAGCACAGAAAUUCUGAUUUCUCUUUUGGAAGCCUCCCAGGAUGACCUCUCCAGCUCACCGAAACUCACUAAGCCCCACUUGUAAGCCUUGCCUUACCACGCGGAGAUGUGGAAACAAGACAAGAAGCCGUCAGCCCACUGGGGGGAGCUGCAGCAGACCAGUUGUGAAUCAGAGCAGCUAAAAGCAGGGGAGAAACCUGAGUUCCCAGCUCAGCCUGGGGAAGGUGGCUGGCACAGGUCUACCCCCAGCACAGGGAAAGCAUGGGGAAGGCACAGCCCUGACAGAAGGACCAGGAACCCUCAAGGGAGGCAAAGUAAAAGUGAAAGAAAGUGAAGUUGCUCAGUCGUGUCCCAUUCUUUGCUACUCAUAGCCCACCAGGCUCCUCUGUCCAUGGGAUUCUCCAGGCAAGAAUACUGGAGUGGGUUGCCAUUUCCUUCUCCAGGGGAUCUUCCCAACCCAGGGAUUGAACCUGGGUCUCCCGCAUUGCAGGCAGACGCUCUACCAUCUGAGCCCAGGACUACCAGGGAAGCCCAGAGAGGCAGGGGUCACUGAAAGUGGCCCAGCAGGCAGGAAUCAGGUCACAUAGGGUCACAAUGCCAUGCUGAGUAGUUCUGACCUUAACUUAGGGUCAGGGAAGCCACUGAAGGCUGUUAAAGAUGACUUGACCGCCCCCAACCCCCGAUCCCCAGAAGUCUGUUCUCAGCAGCAUUUGCAAUCCUUGAUGUUCCCAAGAUACCCUUUAUUUCCAACCAGGCCUCAAAGACCCAGCCUCACCUUCUGCUACCUGGAGGGCCGCCAAAUGAAGCAAGGAUUGACAAACUGUGGCCCUCAGCCAGUGGUCUUAUCACUUGCUUCUGUAUGGCCUGUGAAUAAGAAUGGUUUUUAUGUUGUUUAAUGGUUGAAAAAAUCAAAGGAAAGAUAGUAUUUUGGCAUGUGAAAAGUAUGUGAGGACUUUCUUGGUGGUCCAGUGGCUAAAACUCUGCACUCCCAAAGCAGGGGUCCUGGGUUCCACUGAUGGUCAGGGAACUAGAUCUCACAUGCCACAGCUAAAA